GUGCUCACUUCGGCAGCACAUAUACUAAAAUUGGAAUGAUGCAGAGAAGAUUAGCAUGGCCCCUACGCGAUGACAUGCAAAUUCGUGAAGCAUUGCAUAUUUUU